GCCCGAGUAGCUCAGGGGCAGAGCACAAUCUUGGUAAGGUUGGGGUCAUGGGUUCAAUUCCCAUCUCGGGCUCCA
rnacentral:tRNA from 1 species